GGCUGCAUGGCGCAGUUGGUAGCACUGUUGCCUUGCAGGAAGAAGGUCCUGGGUUCAACUUCCAGCAGGGGGUCU